GCUGAAGUGGUGGAAUAGGUAGACACUAGGGACUUAAAAUCCCUUGGCAGUAAUGCCGUACGGGUUCAAUUCCCGUCUUCAGCA
rfam:Treponema pedis str. T A4, complete genome.